UCCAAAACAUUGUCUUAUGUACAUAAUAUAAGAUAACUCCUGCCCAGUGACAUACUCUGUUCAACGGCCGCGGUAUCCUAACCGUGCAAAGGUAGCAUAAUCACUUGCCUAUUAAUUGUAGGCUAGAAUGAAAGGGUUAACGAAAUAGAGACUGUCUCAAUUAAUUACCUAAAAAUUAUUUUCUACAUGAAGAAAAGUAGAUAUACUCGAAGGACAAGAAGACCCUAUAGAGCUUAAUUUAAACUAUAGAACCACGCUAUAAAAAAAUUCGGUUGGGGCGACCCAGGGCUAACAAUCACCCAUUAUAAAAAAGAUAUAUUAAUCUAAUUAAUGACCCAUAAGAUCAUAAAACCAAGCUACCUUAGGGAUAACAGGCUAAUCCCACUUAAGAGUCCUUAUCAACAGUGGGGUUUGGCACCUCGAUGUUGGCUUAGGGUAUCAAUAUAGCGCAAAAGUUAUAUAAAGAUGGUUUGUUCAACCAGUAACUCCCUACGUGAUCUGAGUUCAAACCGGGAG
rnacentral:rRNA from 1 species